GUCGGCGACCCUCAACCUCAUGCGUCAUAUUACGUCAGUUUGCCGGGAGUGUCGAGACCACGUGUUCCUUACCGGCUUUAGCAGCAUGCGAAUCAUGCUUUUCAGUCGGAAACGUAUCAGGCGAGAGUAGUAGCAGGACUUGCAAGAUGGCGGUGCGGUGGGGUGCAGGCGAGGAGACUUUUACAACGUGCAAUAUGGAUAUUUUUCUCUGGAUACACUAGAUGAGACAACCGGCCUGCAUUCAGAAGGUACUUUGGGCACCCUUCAAGGCUGCUUGGACACCACGAUCCUUUCUAUCUUUGAAGACACACCAGCAAUAGAGACCAGAGACCUCGAAGAGGAGACCGAGGCCACACUGCUCACUGCUCUCACAGAGAUUCUCGACAACGUGGAUGAUGAGAAUCUGUCUCCGUUCGACACACUGCUGAGUCAGACCUACUGUCAGGUCAAAAGGGCAGGGAACACUCUCCAGUAAGUGCCCCACUAUCCACUUUUCAGUGUCUACUCUCACGGAUGGAACAAUUAAGAGAAAGUGUUUUCGUUUAUGAUUGUCCUUGACUAAUUUGCCAUUGUAAUGUUCCAAUUUUAGCUCAGGAGAUUAUGUUUGUCACGUUUCCCUCCGGAAAAGAGGGCAUAUUUGAGCACAGAUCUACAGGAAAGGUAACUACUUUUAAAAUGAGAAAUUGUACUGUGUAUCAGCAGCAUUUUGUUUAACCAUAUUUCUUGCCCAGACCCUGCCAUGCUUCAGCAACGAAGUGAUGGGAAGAUGAGGAGGACUUGCUAUCCCUGGUUCCAGGAAGGCUUGCGUUAUGCCCUGACAAUGAGCUGAUAGAUUGGGAAGGGCUUCCCAUCACAAUUGAGCAACAUGGUGAAGAUGGACUUUCAGUCAAU
rnacentral:lncRNA from 1 species